AUUUUCAUUACAAUGAAGUCUUUAAUCGUAGCGUUCGCGUUGUUUUACAUUUGCACUGCAUUUCAAUUCAGUUUGGAAUUUGAGUAUAUAAAAUCGUGGGAAAAUACGAUAGCGCCUUUUAGGGAUGAAUGUUUAAAUUCAAGUGGGUUGGAGCGACAGAUACUCUACGAUGCAUUAUUCACUAUGCUGUUCCCCGAAACUCACCAGUUUAAGUGUUUUUCCGCAUGUAUUUGGUCUCAUUUGGGGUAUUACAACUCUACCUCAAGGCAAAUAAAUGUGGACAAAAUUGGACAGGAAGUUAGAGGAUUUACAAGACAAAUUGCUGAAGAUUGCUAUAAUCAGCUCGAGGAUAAUAAAAAUAUUAAAAAUU